UACCAGCACCCCGAGUGGUCGGGACGAUUAUUGGGCCUAAAGCAUCCGUAGCCGGUCAUGUAAGUCCUCCGUUAAAUCCAGCCGCUCAACGGUUGGGCUGCGGAGGAUACUACGUGGCUAGGAGGCGGGAGAGGCAAGCGGUACUCAGUGGGUAGGGGUAAAAUCCUUUGAUCCAUUGAAGACCACCAGUGGCGAAGGCGGCUUGCCAGAACGCGCUCGACGGUGAGGGAUGAAAGCUGGGGGAGCAAACCGG
rnacentral:rRNA from 1 species